GCCCGGAUGGUGGAAUUGGUAGACACGACAGACUUAAAAUCUGUUGGCCCUAGGGCCGUGCGGGUUCAAGUCCCGCUCCGGGUACAA
rnacentral:tRNA from 1 species